rnacentral:misc_RNA from 1 species
ACACCCCUCAAGCCUGGCUUGGUAUUGGGCGUCGGGAUACCCUCCCGCGCCCCGAUUUCACCGGCUGGACGACUCCGAUCUCUCAAGCGUUGUACAAUCUCGCUGGCGAGUCGGGCGGCCACGCCGUUAACCCUUAAUCAAAU